GGGUGCUUGCCCUCCGCCGCCUGUCACUUUCAUCUUGCCUCUAAAGCCCUUGCCUAGUUUCUGGGGCAUUGCCUGGUGGGAAACAGCUAGGUCAUAUCCGACUUGAGCAUCUUCAAAUAUAGGGAGCCCUCUGCCAUCAGUACUAUGACCGAUGGUUUGGUCUGGUCUAUGCCUUUCGCCUUUUAAUCAGAUACCUCCCGGAGUAUAUGUGGGAUGGCUUGUUGUUAA